GGCGAUCAGAUACCGCCCUAGUUCUAACCGUAAACGAUGACAACCAGCGAUUAAUCGGCGUUAAUAUACGACCCGAUUAGCAGCUUCCGGGAAACCAAAGUUUUUCGUUUCCGGGGGAAGUAUGGUUGCAAAGCUGAAACUUAAAGGAAUUGACGGAAGGGCACCACCAGGAGUGGAGCCUGCGGCUUAAUUUGACUCAACACGGGAAAACUCACCCGGCCCGGACACUGUAAGGAUUGACAGACUGAGAGCUCUUUCUUAAUUCAGUGGGUGGUGGUGCAUGGCCGUUCUUAGUUGGUGGAGCGAUUUGUCUGGUUAAUUCCGAUAACGAACGAGACUCUGGCCUAUUAAAUAGACGAGGUAUCUACAUAGUAUCUCGCGCUUCUUAGAGGGACAAGCGGCGUCUAGUCGCAUGAAAAAGAGCAAUAACAGGUCUGUGAUGCCCUUAGAUGUCCGGGGCUGCACGCGCGCUACACUGAAAGAAUCAGCGUGUAUUUUAACCUAGUCCGGAAGGAUUGGGUAACCCGAGUAAAUUCUUUCGUGCUUGGGAUAGGGAAUUGCAAUUAUUUCCCUUAAACGAGGAAUUCCCAGUAAAUGCGGGUCAUAAGCUCGCGUUGAUUACGUCCCUGCCCUUUGUA
rnacentral:rRNA from 1 species